rnacentral:rRNA from 1 species
UACGUAGGGGGCAAGCGUUGUCCGGAUUUAUUGGGCGUAAAGAGCGUGUAGGCGGCUUGGUAAGUCCGCUGUGAAAGUCCAGGGCUCAACCCUGGAAUGCCGGUGGAAACUGCCAAGCUCGAGUCCGGAAGAGGCGAGUGGAAUUCCUGGUGUAGCGGUGAAAUGCGCAGAUAUCAGGAGGAACACCGAUGGCGAAGGCAGUGGGCUGGGCCGGCACUGACGCUGAGGAGCGAAAGCGUGGGGAGCGAACAGG